GGGUGAGUAAUGCCUAGGAAAUUGCCCUGGUGUGGGGGAUAACCAUUGGAAACGAUGGCUAAUACCGCAUAAUACCUUCGGGUCAAAGAGGGGGACCUUCGGGCCUCUCGCGUCAGGAUAUGCCUAGGUGGGAUUAGCUAGUUGGUGAGGUAAUGGCUCACCAAGGCGACGAUCCCUAGCUGGUCUGAGAGGAUGAUCAGCCACACUGGAACUGAGACACGGUCCAGACUCCUACGGGAGGCAGCAGUGGGGAAUAUUGCACAAUGGGCGCAAGCCUGAUGCAGCCAUGCCGCGUGUGUGAAGAAGGCCUUCGGGUUGUAAAGCACUUUCAGUCGUGAGGAAGGUGGUGUAGUUAAUAGCUGCAUUAUUUGACGUUAGCGACAGAAGAAGCACCGGCUAACUCCGUGCCAGCAGCCGCGGUAAUACGGAGGGUGCGAGCGUUAAUCGGAAUUACUGGGCGUAAAGCGCAUGCAGGUGGUUUGUUAAGUCAGAUGUGAAAG
rnacentral:rRNA from 1 species